rnacentral:tRNA from 1 species
GGAUGGAUGGCAGAGCGGUUGAAUGCACUGGUCUUGAAAACCAGCAAGCGCGCAAGUGCUUCGGGGGUUCGAAUCCCUCUCCAUCCGCCA